CUACGGGACGCAGCAGUAGGGAAUAUUGGACAAUGGGCGCAAGCCUGAUCCAGCCAUGCCGCGUGAGUGACGAAGGCCUUCGGGUUGUAAAGCUCUUUUGGCGGGGACGAUAAUGACGGUACCCGCAGAAUAAGCUCCGGCUAACGUUCGUGCCAGCAGCCGCGGUGAAUACGAAGGGAGCUAGCGUUGUUCGGAAUCACUGGGCGUAAAGCGCACGUAGGCGGAUGGGUCAGUCAGGGGUGAAAUCCCGGAGCUCAACUUCGGAACUGCCUUUGAUACAGCACAUCUGGAGUCCGGAAGAGGUGGGUGGAAUUCCUAGUGUAGAGGUGACAUUCGUAGAUAUUAGGAAGAACACCGGUGGCGAAGGCGGCCCACUGGUCCGGUACUGACGCUGAGGUGCGAAAGCGUGGGGAGCAAACAGGAUUAGAUACCCUAGUAGUC
rnacentral:rRNA from 1 species